rnacentral:rRNA from 1 species
CUACGUGCCAGCAGCCGCGGUAAUACGGAAGGUCCGGGCGUUAUCCGGAUUUAUUAGGUUUAAAGGGAGCGUAGGCUGGAGAUUAAGUGUGUUGUGAAAUGUAGACGCUCAACGUCUGACUUGCAGCGCAUACUGGUUUCCUUGAGUACGCACAACGUUGGCGGAAUUCGUCGUGUAGUGGUGAAAUGCUUAGAUAUGACGAAGAACUCCGAUUGCGAAGGCAGCUGACGGGAGCGCAACUGACGCUGAAGCUCGAAGGUGCGGGUAUCGAACAGGAUUAGAUACCCUGGUAGUCCGCACAGUAAACGAUGGAUGCCCGCUGUUGGUACCUGGUAUCAGCGGCUAAGCGAAAGCUUUAAGCAUCCCACCUGGGGAGUACGCCGGCAACGGUGAAACUCAAAGGAAUUGACGGGGGCCCGCACAAGCGGAGGAACAUGUGGUUUAAUUCGAUGAUACGCGAGGAACCUUACCCGGGCUUGAAUUGCAGAGGAAGGAUUUAGAGAUA